AUGGCUGGGUUUAGUCGCCCCUCCCUGACAGUACUGGCCCCCUCCAGUGAUGAUGAGCUGCAGCAGGGGAAGGCCACACUCAUCUGUCUGGCCAAUAAAGGCUUUCCUUCAAACUGGACUCUGUCCUGGAAGGUGGAUGGAAGAAGCAGCAGUGGAGAGGAGAGCAGGAGCCCCGGGGCGCUGCAGAAUGAUGGCCACUACAGCUGGAGCAGCACCCUGAGGCUCCCUGCAGACCAGUGGGAGAAGGUGGGCUCUGUGACCUGUGAGGCCACCCAGGGCUCCCAGACUCCACUCUCAGAGACUCUGAUGAGAGACCAGUGUUCCCAGUCCUGAGCUGACUCACUGGGAUUCUGAUACUACUCUCUCUUUGUCCUCUUGGUCUGAUUAUUCUCUUUCUCUUUUUGUCUUGUUGUAUUGC